rnacentral:rRNA from 1 species
GCAGGAUCUAGGCUGAAGCUGUCGGCUCUUUUAUGGUUGAAAAUUCCGAUGGUUAGAGAUGGGCAUGCGUUGUAUUAGCUAGUUGGUGGGGUAACGGCUCACCAAGGCGACGAUACAUAGGGGGACUGAGAGGUUAACCCCCCACACUGGUACUGAGACACGGACCAGACUCCUACGGGAGGCAGCAGUGAGGAAUAUUGGUCAAUGGACGCAAGUCUGAACCAGCCAUGCCGCGUGCAGGAUGACGGCUCUAUAGAGUUGUAAACUGCUUUUGUACGAGGGUAAACGCAGAUACGUGUAUCUGUCUGAAAGUAUCGUACGAAUAAGGAUCGGCUAACUCCGUGCCAGCAGCCGCGGUAAUACGGAGGAUUCAAGCGUUAUCCGGAUUUAUUGGGUUUAAAGGGUGCGUAGGCGGUUUGAUAAGGUUAGAGGUGAAAUUUCGGGGCUCAACCCUGAACGUGCCUCUAAUACUGUUGAGCUAGAGAGUAGUUGCGGUAGGCGGAAUGUAUGGUGUAGCGGUGAAAUGCUUAGAGAUCAUACUGAACACCGAUUGCGAAGGCAGCUUACCAUACUAUAUCUGACGUUCAGGCACGAAUGCGUGGGGAGCAAACCGGAUUAGAUACCCUGGUAGUCCACGCAGUAAACGAUGAUUACUCGUUGUCGGCGAUACACAGUCGGUGACUAAGCGAAAGCGAUAGUUAUCCAGCUGGGGAGUACGUUCGCCAGAAUGAAACUCACAGGACUUGACGGGGGCCCGCACAAGCUGAGGAACAUGUGGUCUAAUUCGAUGAUACGCGAGGAACGUUACCCGGGUCUUGAAAGUGUGCGACGAUUCUUGUAUGAGGAUUCCCUUCGGGGCGCGAAACUAGGUGCUGCAUGGUUGUCGUCAGGUCGUGCCUUGAGGUGUCGGGUCACGUCCAUAACGAGCGCAACCCUUCCGUUGGUUGCCCAUCGGUUAAUCUGGGCCCUCCUGCGGGACUGCCGUUUAAGCGAGAGAACGGUGGGUUACUUCCAUCGCACGGCCUACUUCCGGGUCAGCCUUUUACUUGUUUGACCAAGG